rnacentral:sRNA from 1 species
GUUGUAAUGACAGUCACUGCUUUGU